rnacentral:rRNA from 1 species
UGGGGAAUAUUGCACAAUGGGCGAAAGCCUGAUGCAGCAACGCCGCGUGAGGGACGACGGCCUUCGGGUUGUAAACCUCUUUUAGCAAGGAAGAAGCGAAAGUGACGGUACUUGCAGAAAAAGCGCCGGCUAACUACGUGCCAGCAGCCGCGGUAAUACGUAGGGCGCAAGCGUUAUCCGGAAUUAUUGGGCGUAAAGAGCUCGUAGGCGGUUUGUCGCGUCUGCUGUGAAAACCCGAGGCUCAACCUCGGGCCUGCAGUGGGUACGGGCAGACUAGAGUGCGGUAGGGGAGAUUGGAACUCCUGGUGUAGCGGUGGAAUGCGCAGAUAUCAGGAAGAACACCGAUGGCGAAGGCAGAUCUCUGGGCCGUAACUGACGCUGAGGAGCGAAAGGGUGGGGAGCAAAACAGGCUUAGAUACCCUGGUAGUCCACCCGUAAACGUUGGGAACUAGUUGUGGGGUCCAUUCCACGGAUUCCGUGACGCAGCUAACGCAUUAAGUUCCCCGCCUGGGGAGUACGGCCGCAAGGCU